CCGAUGAAAAACACAAAUAGCCUUCGUCGGAUCGCUAUUCGCAGGAAAAUUUUCCGAUUGCAGUUUCACUGUUGCUCCGACAGAGGUCGAGAGAAUCUAACAAGCCGGAAAGUACUGUGAUUUUGAGAAUAUUCUAGUCAGGAAGAAUGUAAUACUAGUAAGUGCCUAAUGAUAGAUUUGUUGACAGAAGCAGAAAGACUAAAAUGCCUGAGAAAUAAAAGCUGUAUUUUGGUUCAUCAUCUUAGCCCAUAGCAUCAGGACAGAAUCAAGUUAAAAAAUAAGAAUCAUGGGAUUUUCUAAGCGGUAUUAAUGUAAUACUAGAAAGUGCCUAAUGAUGGACUUGUUGACAGAAGUAGAAACACUAAAACGCCUUAGAAAUGAAAGGUGUGUUUUGGUUCAUCAUUUUAGCUUAUAGGAUCAGGAUAGAAUCACGAUUUAAAAAAUCAGAACCAUGGGAGCAUCAUGCAACCACAGGAGGCAAAUAUAUUUUCCCACAAUCUAAGGAUAGAGGGUUGCGAACAUUUCGUCAUUCUUUUAAACAUAGCGUAUAACAAGUAGGAAUCGCUGAGAGGGAAAAACUUGUAUACUUGUUUAAUUUUAAUAAGUUUAUUCGUUGAUUAUUGAAACAAUUCAUACCAAGUUUUCAUUUUACUAAACCAGAGAAAACUGCCGAAAGUAAGACUGAUAGAGUUAGGGAAACAUUACAAAUAUGCUAAUAACUAAGUAGGUGCUAAUGUUAAAUAUGACGAAUUAAUUGAGUUCGUGGAUUACCUAUACUCCUUCGUUAACAUACGUGAGAUGUUUGCGAGAUGCUGACUUUUCUACUAAGAAAAAUGUUUAUCGAGUUUUGAGAAACUUUUGAGUUUAUGAGAAUUUUAGAGCUUAUGAACCAGCUAGAGUUAGGGUACAGUUUAUGUUAACUCUGUUGUUAUCCUGUGAGUACGUGCCUUAACUUGUGAGCAAAUGAUUAAAGGAUAUGAAUUAUCUGCUGCAAAAUAUGUGUCCCAAAAUCCAAAAAAAAAACCACCAAUUUAUUUGCAGAUGUCACUGCGAACCCUAUUGGAAAUUGUCUGCGAACAUAACUUAACUCUGGUGCUUAGAAAUAUUGAACCAUUUGUUCAGUUGGGUAUUGCAAAAAUUAUUUGAUUUAAAUUUUUGUUUAGUUAGCUCUGUUUUGUGCUUUGAUGAAGCGGAUGUUUUAUGGGUGCAGGCAAAAAAUUGUUGGUGCUGAAAAAAUUUGACACAUAUAAUAAAAAAAAACAACUCAAUCCAUUUUUAAUUCUAAACGUUGAUGUUUUUGUUGAAUGCAAUCAAAAUAUCCAAAUUGAGCUAUAGAAGCAAAAUAGGAGAAAUUUGAGCCGCAAGUUUUUAUCCGCCAUAACUAAAAACCUUCUGAUCUGUCUCACCAGAGCUUAACUCCUGCAUUACUAGUUAUCACUUAACAUUUAUAGUUAUAGUUAUGCAAAAUAAAUCAAAAGUCUUUUAUUAUUCCAAUAAAA